ACCAGACUCCUACGGGAGGCAGCAGUGGGGAAUAUUGCACAAUGGGCGCAAGCCUGAUGCAGCAACGCCGCGUGAGCGAAGAAGGUCUUCGGAUCGUAAAGCUCUUUCCUUGAGGAAGAAGGAAGUGACGGUACUCAAGGAGGAAGCCCCGGCUAACUACGUGCCAGCAGCCGCGGUAAUACGUAGGGGGCAAGCGUUAUCCGGAAUUACUGGGUGUAAAGGGUGAGUAGGCGGCAUGGUAAGCCAGAUGUGAAAGCCUUGGGCUUAACCCGAGGAUUGCAUUUGGAACUAUCAAGCUAGAGUACAGGAGAGGAAAGCGGAAUUCCUAGUGUAGCGGUGAAAUGCGUAGAUAUUAGGAAGAACACCAGUGGCGAAGGCGGCUUUCUGGACUGAAACUGACGCUGAGGCACGAAAGCGUGGGGAGCGAACAGGAUUAGAUACCCUUGUA
rnacentral:rRNA from 1 species